rnacentral:rRNA from 1 species
AAGAGGGUGAUAGUCCCGUAUAAGUAAGAGAAGAUAAGAAUAGUGGUAUCCUGAGUAGGUCGGGGCACGUGAAACCCUGAUUGAAACUGGCGGGACCAUCCGCUAAGGCUAAAUACUCCUGAGAGACCGAUAGUGAACCAGUACCGUGAGGGAAAGGUGAAAAGAACCGUGAAUAACGGAGUGAAACAGAUCCUGAAACCAUACGCCUACAAGCGGUCGGAGCCCAUUCGUUGGGUGACGGCGUGCCUUUUGCAUAAUGAGCCUACGAGUUACCGUUGCUGGCAAGGAUAAGUGAUUAAGUCAUGGAUCCGUAGCGAAAGCGAGUCUUAAUAGGGCGCUUUAGUCAGUAGUGGUAGACGCGAAACCGUGUGAUCUACCCAUGGGCAGGUUGAAGUUUAGGUAACACUAAAUGGAGGACCGAACCGUUUAACGCUGAAAAGUUUUCGGAUGACCUGUGGGUAGGGGUGAAAGGCCAAUCAAACUCGGAAAUAGCUCGUACUCCCCGAAAUGCAUUUAGGUGCAGCGAUAAUCGAUAGUUACUUAGAGGUAGAGCUACUGAUUGGAUGCGGGGGCUUCACCGCCUACCAAUUCCUGACAAACUCCGAAUGCUAAGUAAUGAUAAUUAUCAGUGAGGGCAUGGGUGCUAAGGUCCAUGUCCGAGAGGGAAAGAACCCAGACCAUCAGCUAAGGUCCCCAAAUGUAUGCUAAGUUGAAAAAACGCGGUUUGAUUGCCCAGACAGCUAGGAUGUUGGCUUGGAAGCAGCCAUUCAUUUAAAGAGUGCGUAACAGCUCACUAGUCGAGCGAUCGAGCAUGGAUAAUAAUCGGGCAUAAGCAUACUACCGAAGCUAUGGAUUUACGUUUUUAACGUGAGUGGUAGGGGAGCAUUCUAACGGGGUAGAAGGUGAUUUGUGAGAAUUGCUGGACCUUUUAGAAAAGAAAAUGUAGGCAUAAGUAACGAUAAGGGGUGCGAGAAACACCCCCGCCGUAAGACUAAGGUUUCCUGAGCUAUGCUAAUCAGCUUAGGGUUAGUCGGGACCUAAGGCACACCCGAAGGGGGACGUCGAUGGCCAACGGGUUAAUAUUCCCGUACUACUUAUAAUUGUGAUGGAGUGACACAGUGAUGAAAGCACCGCGAACUGACGGAAUAGUUCGUUGAAGCACGUACCUAUUGGUUUGAUAGUAAAAUGCGUCAGACUAGGAGAAAUGCGAUAGUACUUUGAGUCUUCGGACAACGAGAUAGUGUGCCUAAGGGCUGUCAAGAAAAGCUUCUAAACUUAGAUUAUAAGUACCCGUACCGUAAACCGACACAGGUAGUCGAGGAGAGUAUCCUAAGGCGCUCGAGAGAUUCAUGGCUAAGGAACUAGGCAAAAUAGACCUGUAACUUCGGGAGAAAGGUCGCCAGCGCAAGCUGGCCGCAGUGAAAAGGUCCAGGCGACUGUUUAUCAAAAACACAGGGCUCUGCAAAAUCGUAAGAUGAAGUAUAGGGCCUGACACCUGCCCGGUGCUGGAAGGUUAAGAGGAGAUGUUAUC